AACGCUGGCGGCGUGCCUAACACAUGCAAGUCGAACGCGAAAGGGGCUUCGGCCCUGAGUAGAGUGGCGAACGGGUGAGUAACACGUGGGUGAUCUACCUUUGAGUGGGGGAUAACGUUCCGAAAGGAGCGCUAAUACCGCAUGACGUUCCGGGUUUGAAGACCUGGAAACCAAAGCCGGGGACCGCAAGGCCUGGCGCUUGGAGAGGAGCCCGCGUCCGAUUAGCUAGUUGGCGGGGUAAUGGCCCACCAAGGCGACGAUCGGUAGCCGGCCUGAGAGGGCGGACGGCCACACUGGAACUGAGACACGGUCCAGACUCCUACGGGAGGCAGCAGUGGGGAAUUGUUCACAAUGGGCGCAAGCCUGAUGACGCAACGCCGCGUGGGGGAUGAAGGUCUUCGGAUUGUAAACCCCUGUCGAAUGGGACGAAAGACUCGGGAGCUAAUCAUCUCGAGAGUGACGGUACCGUUAAAGGAAGCCACGGCUAACUCUGUGCCAGCAGCCGCGGUAAUACAGAGGUGGCAAGCGUUGUUCGGAAUUACUGGGCGUAAAGGGCGAGUAGGUGGCCAUCUAAGUCAGACGUGAAAUCCCCCGGCUUAACCUGGGAACUGCGUCUGAUACUGGACGGCUUGAGUAUGGGAGAGGAACGUAGAAUUCCAGGUGUAGCGGUGAAAUGCGUAGAUAUCUGGAGGAAUACCGGUGGCGAAGGCGGCGUUCUGGACCAUUACUGACACUGAAUCGCGAAAGCUAGGGGAGCAAACG
rnacentral:rRNA from 1 species